CACAGCCCGCCCUCUGCGCGCAGGAUCAGUUCUGGCUUCCUGCGGGGCUCCUUGUCAUCCGGCAGAACGCGGAAGCGCUGCAGAGUCAACGCCAACGCCACUUUCAUCUCGUUCAUGGCGAAAGUCUGUCCUAUGCAGUUCCUGCAGGAGGGCGGGUGGGAACUCUUGACUGUGCCCUAGACCCUACCCAGGGCCAACACAGCACUAGAACCUGGCCCGAGUCUGAGGUUUCUGGGACCACGCAUGGGCAUAGACAUCCUCAGAGCCUAGCCCAGAUUAAUAACCGAACAGGUCAGGGCGGGAUUCUGAGCACAGAGAAGGACUCUUCACCUUCUCCUCCCGGGUUCCCCAAACCUUUGCACAAUUCUGUGCAGGGCGGCAGGAAAGAGACGCUAACCUCCAAAUACCCGAACUGCCCUCACUGUCAGCCCUGAGCCCCUCCCACUCAGUUCUAGCCUCACCUGGGCCCAGCCGAGAAGGGAAUAAAAGCCAGGGGUGACCUGCCCUUGACGUUGUCUGCCUCAAAGCGGAAGGGGUCAUAGACCUGCAGGAGACAUAGAGCCAUGGCGGGUGAGGACCAAUUGCCAGCGAAGCCAGGAGCAGAGUCCUCAGUGUGCAGUGGAAGGUUAAGUUGAAGCCAGCCUGAGCUACAUAAGACCUUAUCCAACAAACAAGCAAAAAGACUGUCCUCUUGAGAACUGCAGCCCAUAACAGAAUUAAGAGGGACAGCACCUCCGGGUCUGGCCACACAGCUGGAUUGUGAUGUGUUCCGAAAAUACUUAUUCGGCAGAUGACACCUGUGGGGAAAAGGAAGCAAUGAGGACAAACUGCUGCAACCUGGAUCCUCUGUCUGUCCAGAACCCUCCUCCUGGUUGCUUCCGGCACCUUUAGGGAUGAUCCGGCCAUCUGGGAGCGUUAUGUCCUGAGUGCAGCAGCGGGAGAUUGCCGUGACCGGAGGAUGUAGCCGUAGGCUCUCCUUAAUGCACAUGGUGAGGAAUGGCAGCUGGGCCAGGUCGUCCCUGAGGAAAAAAAAAAAAAAACAACAACUAAUAGUUAACCAGAUCAAAAAUGAGAGAACUUCAGAGAACUUCAUCUCCUCUGUGACCCAAUGAAACCUGCCUGUUUUAAGUGCUAAGAUGGAUGAAGUACUUGAGAACUGGAAAAACACAGGCUGACUAGAUGGCUAGGAGAGGAAAAGAAGCUGCCAGUAAGUCUGAAGACGAGUUCAAUCUCCAAGAAAGACAUUAAUUAACUAAUUAAUUAGUGCAAUUAAAAACAAAAACAGAAUCCCAACAAUGGAAAGACAGAGACAGGAAGGAUUAUGAGUUCCAGUCCAGCCUUUGGCACACAAUGACACUCUUGUCUAAAAAAACAUUCAUUAUUAAUAAACAGUUGGUUAGCUUACUGA